rnacentral:rRNA from 1 species
UGUUAUAUGUGUGUGUUAGCGGAAGUGGUUUUGGAAUGGCCUGCCGUAGUGGGUGAGAGUCCCGUACGUGAAAACAUGUGCAUGCGAGUGGAUGAUGUUCCCGAGUAGCAGCGGGCUCGUGGAAUCUGCUGUGAAUCUGCCGGGACCACCCGGUAAGCCUAAAUACUUAUGAUGACCGAUAGCGGAUUAGUACCGUGAGGGAAUGGUGAAAAGUACCCCGGGAGGGGAGUGAAAUAGUACCUGAAACCGUGUGCUUACAAUCCGUCAGAGCCUUUUUGUUAGGUGAUGGCGUGCCUUUUGAAGAAUGAGCCUGCGAGUCAGCGGCAUGUCGCGAGGUUAACCCGUGUGGGGUAGUCGUAGCGAAAGCGAAUCCUAAUGAGGGUGUUUUU